AAGCAUCUCUGACAGACCUGGAGCAAAUUAAAAUCCUUAGCUAAGGCUUCCAUUAUAGAUGCAAGAAAAAAAGAUCCCCAUGCUUUCUUUCUAUCUAGUGUGGCAACCAAGACUGAAUGGGGGAAUACAGGA
rnacentral:snoRNA from 1 species